rnacentral:rRNA from 1 species
CCUACGGGCGGCAGCAGUGAGGAAUAUUGGUCAAUGGGCGCUAGCCUGAACCAGCCAAGUAGCGUGAAGGAUGACUGCCCUAUGGGUUGUAAACUUCUUUUAUAUGGGAAUAAAGUGCAGUAUGUAUACUGCUUUGCAUGUACUUUAUGAAUAAGGAUCGGCUAACUCCGUGCCAGCAGCCGCGGUAAUACGGAGGAUCCGAGCGUUAUCCGGAUUUAUUGGGUUUAAAGGGAGCGUAGGCGGGUUGUUAAGUCAGUUGUGAAAGUUUGCGGCUCAACCGUAAAAUUGCAGUUGAUACUGGCAGCCUUGAGUACAGUAGAGGUAGGCGGAAUUCGUGGUGUAGCGGUGAAAUGCUUAGAUAUCACGAAGAACUCCGAUUGCGAAGGCAGCCUGCUGGACUGUAACUGACACUGAUGCUCGAAAGUGUGGGUAUCAAACAGGAUUAGAUACCCCAGUAGUC